rnacentral:rRNA from 1 species
UACGUAGGGACCAAGCGUUGUUCGGAUUUACUGGGCGUAAAGGGCGCGUAGGCGGCGUGUUAAGUCAGUUGUGAAAUCUCCAAGCUUAACUUGGAACGGUCAACUGAUACUGAUGUGCUAGAGUGCAGAAGGGGCAACCGGAAUUCUUGGUGUAGCGGUGAAAUGCGUAGAUAUCAAGAGGAACACCUGAGGUGAAGACGGGUUGCUGGGCUGACACUGACGCUGAGGCGCGAAAGCGUGGGGAGCAAACAGG